GUAGGGAAUAUUGCACAAUGGGCGAAAGCCUGAUGCAGCAACGCCGCGUGCGCGAAGAAGGCCUUCGGGUUGUAAAGCGCUUUUCGGGGAGAUGAGGAAGGACAGUAUCCCCGGAAUAAGGCUCGGCUAACUACGUGCCAGCAGCCGCGGUAACACGUAGGAGCCAAGCGUUAUCCGAAUUCACUGGGCGUAAAGCGCGUGUAGGCGGCUCGGUAAGUUGGAUGUGAAAUCUCCUGGCUCAACUGGGAGAGGACGUUCAAUACUGUCGGGCUAGAGGACGGCAGAGGGAGGUGGAAUUCCCGGUGUAGUGGUGAAAUGCGUAGAUAUCGGGAGGAACACCAGUGGCGAAGGCGGCCUUCUGGGCCGAACCUGACGCUCAGACGCGAAAGCUAGGGGAGCAAACGGGAUUAGAAACCCUGGUAGUCC
rnacentral:rRNA from 1 species